rnacentral:antisense_RNA from 2 species
UGCUUUGGCGGGCGGUGCGUGGGGCCGCAUGGCCGCCGUUCUUCCUUCGGAUCACGGUCUUUCAACCACGCAUCGCCUGCCGCCUUU